rnacentral:lncRNA from 1 species
CCUCUCCAUGAAAGACUGGAAGUUGUUCAUGGAUCAUGGCCCUCAGGGAGCUCUGAGGUCAGUAACUGGGCCACGACUGGGCUCAGCACCUUUCUCUCAGGGAGGCAAAAUCCUGCCAUGUUGCUGAAAGGCAGAUUCCCCAGUGUGCACUGACCUGGUAUUCCGCAGCAGCACUUGUCAUCCUUCACAUACUGCCCUAAGAGGGCAUUGGGUGGGAGGCAGGCAGUUAUUAGGCACCUACAAAAAAAGGAAAAACUCCAACCCCUUUUUGUGCUCCUCAGGGGAAGCAGGUGGGAAGCUCUCGGAAGACUCAGCAAUCAGUUCCUGUUCCUAAGAAGAACCCUGUGAAAUCAUUCUGGACACCUGCAAAUGCCUUCAUAUCUUAAAUUUUCUUUCAGUGGACUUGGGAGUUAUUAUCAGACGUGACAGGGCAGAAUGGGUGGAAUGUCAUGAACAAAAGCCCCACACAAAGGAAGCAUUUAGGUCUGGAACGUGGCUGGGUUCCUCUCGCUUCCUGGAGGCCACAGUGACGAAACAUACGGGACCAUUGGGAGGCCAGCUUUGUGCAGUGCUCAGUCCAGUGACUGUCCCACACCUCUGCAGAGACCGCUG